AACGAACGCUGGCGGCAUGCCUAACACAUGCAAGUCGAACGACACCUUCGGCUCUGGUGUCGCACCGGUUCGUAACGCGUUGGGACCUGCCCUUAGGCUUGGACUAACUCGCCGAAAGGGGUGCUAAUACCGGAUUUUAUCUUCCGACCAAAGGUUUGUCGACUUUGGAUGGGCGCGCGUUGUAUUAGCUUGUUGGUAGGGUAAAUGCCUACCACGGCGACGAUCGAUAGCUGGUCUGAGAGGAAGAUCAGCCACACUGGUAGUGAGAAGCGGCCCAGAAUCCUACGGGAGGCAGCAGUGGGGGAUAUUGGACAGCGGGGGAAAGGAUGAUCGAGCAAUGCCGCGUGAGUGAUGAAGGCCGGAGGGUUGUAAAGCGCGUUUACCCGGGAGGAUGAUGACAGUACCGGAAGAAUAAGCACCGGCUAACUACGUG
rnacentral:rRNA from 1 species